AGUUCAGAUUGCAGGCUGCAACCCGCCUGCAUGAAGUCGGAAUUGCUAGUAAUCGCGGAUCAGCAUGCCGCGGUGAAUACGUUCCCGGGCCUUGUACACACCGCCCGUCACACCAUGAGAGUUGGGAAUACCCGAAGCCUGUGAGCUAACUUUUAGAGGCAGCAGUCGAAGGUAGAAUCAAUGAUUGGGGUGAAGUCGUAACAAGGUAAC
rnacentral:rRNA from 1 species